ensembl:snRNA U1 U1 spliceosomal RNA
AUCCUUACCAGGCAGGGGAGAUACCAUAAUCACAGGAUGACCCUCCCAGGGUGAGUCUUAUCCAUUGCACUCCAGAUGUGCUGAGCUGACCCCUGAGAUUUUCCCCAAAUGCAGAAAACUUAAUUGCAUAAAAAAAGAAAAGAAAGCCGGGCGUUGGUGGCACACACCUUUA